CCGAAUGGGGAAACCCAACUGCAUAAGCAGUUACUGUUAACUGAAUACAUAGGUUAACAGAGCAAACCGGGGGAACUGAAACAUCUAAGUACCCCGAGGAGAAGAAAUCAACCGAGAUUCCGGUAGUAGCGGCGAGCGAACCUGGAUUAGCCCUUAAGCACUCGGUGAAGUAGGUGAACAAGCUGGAAAGCUUGGCGAUACAGGGUGAUAGCCCCGUAACCGACGCUUCAUCGAGCGUGAAAUCGAGUAGGGCGGGACACGUGAUAUCCUGUCUGAAUAUGGGGGGACCAUCCUCCAAGGCUAAAUACUCCUGACUGACCGAUAGUGAACCAGUACCGUGAGGGAAAGGCGAAAAGAACCCCUGUGAGGGGAGUGAAAUAGAACCUGAAACCGUGUACGUACAAGCAGUAGGAGCACCUUCGUGGUGUGACUGCGUACCUUUUGUAUAAUGGGUCAGCGACUUAUAUUCAGUGGCAAGGUUAACCGUAUAGGGGAGCCGUAGCGAAAGCGAGUCUUAACUGGGCGCUCAGUCUCUGGAUAUAGACCCGAAACCGGGUGAUCUAGCCAUGGGCAGGUUGAAGGUUGAGUAACAUCAACUGGAGGACCGAACCGACUAAUGUUGAAAAAUUAGCGGAUGACUUGUGGCUAGGGGUGAAAGGCCAAUCAAACUCGGAGAUAGCUGGUUCUCCCCGAAAGCUAUUUAGGUAGCGCCUCGGACGAAUACUACUGGGGGUAGAGCACUGUUAAGGCUAGGGGGUCAUCCCGACUUACCAACCCUUUGCAAACUCCGAAUACCAGUAAGUACUAUCCGGGAGACACACGGCGGGUGCUAACGUCCGUCGUGGAGAGGGAAACAACCCAGACCGCCAGCUAAGGUCCCAAAGUAUUGCUAAGUGGGAAACGAUGUGGGAAGGCUCAGACAGCUAGGAUGUUGGCUUAGAAGCAGCCAUCAUUUAAAGAAAGCGUAAUAGCUCACUAGUCGAGUCGGCCUGCGCGGAAGAUGUAACGGGGCUAAGCAAUACACCGAAGCUGCGGCAAUGUCUUUUAGACAUUGGGUAGGGGAGCGUUCUGUAAGCCGUUGAAGGUGAAUCGUAAGGUUUGCUGGAGGUAUCAGAAGUGCGAAUGCUGACAUGAGUAACGACAAAGGGGGUGAAAAACCUCCUCGCCGGAAGACCAAGGGUUCCUGUCCAACGUUAAUCGGGGCAGGGUGAGUCGACCCCUAAGGUGAGGCCGAAAGGCGUAAUCGAUGGGAAACGGGUUAAUAUUCCCGUACUUCUGACUAUUGCGAUGGGGGGACGGAGAAGGCUAGGUGGGCCAGGCGACGGUUGUCCUGGUUCAAGUGCGUAGGCUUGAGAGUUAGGUAAAUCCGGCUCUCUCUAAG
rnacentral:rRNA from 1 species